GUUAAAUCUUUCUCAAUAAUAUGACCAAAAUGUCAAUUUAGUGAUUAUUUGAUUUUAUAUACGAAUAAAAUACAUAUAAAGUGUGGAGCGUGUUUUAUCACCAUUAGUGAUUUUUUUUUGCUCUGAACUACAUAUAACAAGAUUGAAAGAUAAUUUUUGUUUUUUGAUCAAUUAUUUCUGGAACGCUCAUCUUAAAGUAUUAUUACAUGGGACGGAAUAAGUUUCCUGGUAUUUAAAGGA
rnacentral:lncRNA from 1 species